GGCUCCGUAGCUCAACUGAAUAGAGUACCACACUACGGAUGUGGGGGUUAUGGGUUUGAAUCCCGUCGGAGUCA
rnacentral:tRNA from 1 species